UAAUGUUACAUUAUUGUAAUUGCUGGGUAUAAUAACUGUAACAUAUUAUUGUAGUAAAAUGGCCUGUUUUUGGACAUCAAGUCUCAUAGUUCUGAGUAACACUGCUCUUUAGCUCAUGUAUGAUGACACUUCAGACAUGUGUUAUGUGUUUUGUGAGCUCAGAUGUUCCUGUGGGCUAGUUGGAGGCUGGCAGGAUUUGGGCUGCAGUCAGAGGCAGGAAGAGAUGAAACUGAGAUUGUAAUACAUACACUCCAGAGCCUACUCUUUUAAUCUGUU
rnacentral:lncRNA from 1 species